UAGAUUCCAUUCAAAAUGUGGUUGAAAAAGGCAAAAAGCUCUGAGGCUUAAUAAAAAUUUGCCUUCUGUCAUUGUAUGUUUUCUGAAGUAAAAAAAAAAAAAACAUUUCGGCCUUCUUUUGCAUGUAUAACCAAUAGUUGUCAGAGCUAAAGGUAAUUAACAAGGCAAGCCAAUCAGCUUUCAGUAUUACACAGCGCAUCAUCAAACCUGCUUGGGAACAGGUGAAGAGCCACCAUCAAAUUCAGCCAAAAUAUUUGAAACUACUGAGGCAUCUCAAAGCAAGUGAUUAUUAACGACAGGACCUUAUAUGCAUUUGGAAUGAUGAAGGAGUGGAAGCUGUCCCUGUCUGCAUAGCCAGUGCAGAUCCAAAUGUGCCAGGGAGAGGGACUGAUACUGUGCUGGCAGAAUCCAGAUGGAGGAAAUCGGUAGCAGCUGUGGCAAUAGUCUAAAGGAAAUGCACUUUUGCAUGUAUGGCGUGGAAGAGUGGCGUAACCAAAGCUGGAUAGACUUGUGGGAAUGAGAAAGAGGAACCAUGGACUAUUUCUAGAGCCCAGCUCCCAGGAUAUCCUGUCUGAGGCUCCUUUCAGGGGCCGAGAAAACUUUUCACAGAAAGAAACGGCAGACUUAUUAUCCACCGGGUUUUAAACGGCACAUGAAUCUUCACUUUCACAAGAACCUUAAUGGCUCUGUUUGAUGUCUGAGCAGCACGGACUGAAGGGAAAAUGGUUGUGUGCCUUUUUUUUUGUCAUGGUAAUUGCUCUUUGGUGGCCAUUCCACUCCAAGCAGCUGUUCGCCCAUCAUGCCAACUAAAAGAAAGCCGGGCCUUUUUGGGAUGAAUACAGGAUAAGAUUAUGGGGAAACUCUGGGAUUAUGAAAGGAUAAUUAAUGAAAUGGAGCCAUUUGUCAAGCGCUCCCUGACAUGCUGCAGACUGGGAACAGAGCCUUACCAAAUUACUCAACUGCUGCCUUUUAAAAUACACCCACUGUACAUCCAUUUUCGCACGCAAGCUUUGAUUAUUAACUGCCAUAUUAUAUUGGGACAAAAAGUUCAACCAAUCUAUGACCUUUAUGACAUGUUUUAACCACAUAGAUUAAACAAUUCACAAAGUUCUUACCUGCUUGGCAGGCAAGUUGUUCCUCUUAUGUUGUGUGCUGAACUCAAAAGACACGAGCCAGCUGAGAAAUUUCUGCUUCUUAAAAACAUAAUUUAAUCCAGCUGUCUCA